rnacentral:snRNA from 1 species
GUGUUCGCUUCGGCAGCACAUAUACUAAAGUUGGAAUGAUACAGAGAAGAUUAGCAUGACCCCUGCACAAGGAUGACAUGCAAAUUUGUGAAGCCUUCCAUAUCUAU